GGCUUGGUCCAAACAUAAUGAAUUAAACUUUCAGCAACGGAUUUUGGCUCUGGCAUCGAUGAAGAACGCAGCGAAAUGCGAUAAGUAAUGUGAAUUGCAGAAUUCAGUGAAUCAUCGAAUCUUUGAACGCACAUUGCGCCCUCCAGUAUUCUGGUGGGCAUGCCUGUCCGAGCGUCAUUUCAACCCUCAGGCCCGGCCUGGUGUUGGGGAUUGGCCCUUCGCGGCCAGCCCCGAAAUGCAGUGGCGGCCCUCCGCAACUCCUCUGUGCAGUAGUGAUACCCGCAUUGGAUAGUGGUUGCGCCUCGCCGUAAAACCUCCAACUUCUCAAGGUUGACCUCGGAUCAGGUAGGAAUACCCGCUGAACUUAAGCAUAUCAAUAAGCGGAGGAAAAGAAACCAACAGGGAUUGCCUCAGUAACGGCGAGUGAAGCGGCAACAGCUCAAAUUUGAAAUCUGGCCCUCGGGUCCGAAUUGUAAUUUGUAGAGGAUGUUUCUGGCGACGUGUCUUCCGAGUUCCCUGGAACGGGACGCCAUAGAGGGUGAGAGCCCCGUCCGGUCGUACGCCUAGCCUCUGGAAAC
rnacentral:rRNA from 1 species